AACACAACAAAGUCACAACUCAUCUACCUUAAGACGGGUAACAAACAACAGCUUGUAUUCUGGAAUAAGGACCGUAACACUUUCAGUUGCACUUCAGGAAAUGGGCUGGACCCUGUGGUAGAAAGUCUAGCAGACACCACAGUGAAAAUAUUCAAGGUAUACAGUGUUGCGCUUAGUCAUUGUCUAUAGACUGCUUAGAGAUUUGAAUUUCAAACACAGCGAGUGUUCAUUAAAUCUAAACCUAAUCCAAAUGCAAGAGAUCUGGCUUACUUAAAUUUUUUAAAUGUGUUAAAAAUGACCUUGUUUUCAGGUCCUUAGCUUUCCUGGCUAGAAUUAAUGGCUGGCAAUUUGGUAGUCAGAGUACAGAAAGUGCAGAAAGGCUGUAAGGUUGCAAACAUGACAUCUGAUGUGUUUAGGUGGAGAGUCUACACUGUAGACCUACAUAAGCGUUGUGGUUUCUUUGAGUGUGGGUUGUGCUGUGUUGGUUUCACAGCGUCUUGAGCAUUUUCUUCUGUUGAGUAUGUACAGUCAACUCCAGAAUAAUUGGGACCCCUUUCACAGAUGAGGAAAAAUAUGACCCUUUUAGCUUAAUGUCACAUUGAAAAAAAUAUUAUAAUAAUCCAACCUUCCAUUGAAGAUCAUUUAUUUUGAGGGGAAAAAAAUCUUGUCAUAAAUAAUUAUUUAUUAUUAUUUAUGAAUUAAGUAUGGUGGCGGUUAUGUUGUGUGGAUGUUUAUCCCCUGGGAACCUUGUAAGGGUACAUGACAUCAUGAACUCCAUGAAAUACUUGGAUAUAGUCUAUGACAGGACAUGACAAGCUAAAUUAUAAAAAAAGUGAAAUAAAUAAAUAUUCAUCUUUGCCAGGGGUGCCAAAAAAUCCAGAGUUGAGUGUAUGGCCUUUGUAACAAGGAAUGCAUUUGUGUUUUAUAGUUGGUCGUUGUGUUAGAAAGGUCAAUGUCCCUCUCUGUUUGCGUUAAACGAGGUAUACAGUGUUGCGCUUAGUCAUUGUCUAUAGACUGCUUAGAGAUUUGAAUUUCAAACACAGCGAGUGUUCAUGGAUAUGAUCUAAUAAGACCUACUCUUAAGCCUAUAAGCACUAUUUAUUUAUGUAAAGGUACCUUUUUAUCUACCUUUGUUGUCAACACUGCAGAGUGUAGACAAUGUAAUUUGUUGAUUUACAAAUGACUAUUUCAAUUACUAAUUCAAGGAUUUAAAUCUUGUUUGUUGAGAAAAGCCCAAAAGCAACAAGUAUAAUUUAAAAAACGUAUUAAUAGUGUCCAAUUACGACCAGUAAAUACAUGUUAAUGUUAUUGUUUCUCCUAUGAUUCAUGUGACUAGUAAGCAAGUGUUAAUCAGCGUGUGGUUGAUCACAUUAUUAUUUAUGAGGUCAUAUCAUUGGAAUUAUCAGCAUUCUCUGUUGAGCUUGGAGAAACUGCUGGCUGUUGCUUGACGUAAAGCACUAAAUUGGGAGCACUUAAACCUUACAGAAUUGCUUUAUCAUUCAUAACAUACAUUUUUAUUUAUUCAUUUACAGUUUAAUAAACACAGCAUUUACUGGAGUCAAUUGACAUCUUCAAAAACAGGAAGUUAUAUAUUUUCAAGCAUAUUUAAAUGUUGACAUUUUGAAGACUAAUUUCAAGUUAAAUCAUUAAUUUUAAUGCCAGACCAGCUAAUAGUUAAUGGAAAACGAAAGUUCACCCAAGGGUUAGGUUUAGUCAGGGGCUGUCAUGCUGAAGGAUGACUAAGCAGUUUGGUGUUCCUCAUUUCUCUGUCUACUUCAGACAUUUUCUUUUUUAACACAGAUUAGGCUUGGUUUGGAAAAUACACACAUUAAUUUUCUAUACCUUAUUACCGCACACUGAUAAAAAGCAGCUUUCUAUUACCAGUCAAAGAACACAUACACCCCCCUUUAGUGUCAAUGCCUCUUGCUCUGCAUUAAAAGAUGUUCAGGCCUGCCAGCAGGGGGCGUCAAAGAGUACAAAUGACCCCUGCCCUGGGGGUUACAAUACUAUGUGUAUCAUUGCUGCCCGGCCCAAUUCUGUUUAGUCUCAGUCAGACUGUGUGCUUAAUUUAUACCAUCAAAUGAUUUUUUGCUAUGACUAGUUUUCGGAGUUUGUUUUUCUACAACUUGGAGCAACUAAUGCACUUGACAUUUAGGUAGAAGGGAUGUUAGACAUAUGCUCUGUGAUUCAGCUCAGUAUUUUCAGUUGGAAAUAUGCUUUAAACUGAACAUGUUUAGUGCUGAGGGAAGGUCAUGAAGAAUUAUAUUUGUUAUUUUGUACGUUUGAGAUUUCAUGUAUGCCUAUUACUAUUAUCGGUUUGCACUUACAUAAAGUUUGAUAACUGUGUCCUAUCUUAAAUAUAAGUUGAGUAUCAAUAAAGGUUUGUGUUGAAAGCAUAUCCUGUUAAAAUACACAUUUACUGCAUUGCAUUUUUCUUACUUAUGUAACAACAACAGAAGUCAAAUUAAACCUUUAAAUUGUUUAAAUAGUGUCUUGGUCAUUGUCUGUUUUCUCUCUGAUUCAGUAAAAAAGUUUAGCGUCUCUCACCUACAAAGACAUAAGACACGAGACCAACCACAUUAACAUCCUGUUUGCUAUGAAUAUAAUGUUUUAUUUAUUGUUUUCAAUCAUGAACAUGCGACAGUAUAUAGUACAAAUGAAAUGGCAUUCCUCCAAAUCCAUGGUGAAACAUUUUUAAGGCAGUUUCCACUGCAGUAGCGGUAGUUGCUAAUGUUCUUUCAGAAACUUGAAUAAUCCAGAACACAGUGGUGUACAUUGUGUGUGCUGUCAUUUGAUUCUUAAUUAUUUUUACUUAAUUGCAUUUUUCUUCCAACAUAAAUGUGUGAUUUUAUGGUUGAUUGAAUUGACUCAAGUAAGAAUAGUUGCUGAAUCAUCAAUUAUCCAGUUAAAUAAACAGAAAUAUUGAAGAUCAGUUUUGCUUCUUACAUCCUGACUUGACGGACACAUUGACAUGCUUGUGUGCCUGAAAGAGGAAGUCAUAUAUAUAGGAAAUGUAUUCUACGAACACACGUCUAAUGUUUUUGAGCUAAUGCGUUUCUGCUUUACAAGACAGGAGUGCGCUGGGUGAACCGGGUCAGUUUCUAUGAUCAGAAUGGAGCGCUUGUUGUGGAUUCACCUCUUUCUAGGUCUGAUGAUUCUGUUUGCUGGAACGAAUGGUUUAACAGAGAUGGAGGUGGACUUGGAGGAAAACAUAACAAUCCCCUGUUCUCUUAAAAUGAAUGGGGCUGUUUUCUGGUAUAAACAACGUGAGGCACAGUCUCCUCUGGUCUUACUACGCUUUCUGGGUGAAACAAUUUCAUUUUACUACAAUGGCAGUUUCAAGAAGAAAUACGUUUUACAAACAGAUGAAGGAUUGUUGAUACAGAAUGUUACAGUGGAGGAUUAUGUGGUUUAUUACUGUGGGAAGAUAGAAAAUAUGUCAAUGAAGUUCGACGAUGCCACCAGGCUUGUUAGUAUGAGACAACUGAAGACCACAGAUGAUCCAUCUGAACCCAAGAUCAGGACUCCCGGUUCAGAGCUUACUUGCUCAAAUAUACUUAUACGUUCCACUGUCUUGAACGGGAUUUUUCUAUUACUGUUGGUUGUGGCUAGUUUUUGUUGGAUUUCCGGCCUGCGUAGGAGAGCCUCCACCCAGGGUGCUGGUUCUCCUCCUCCUCCUGGUCCUCCUCCACCUGGUCCUCCACCUCCUGGUUCUCCUCCACCUCCUGGUUCUCCUCCACCUCCUGGUCCUCAAACAGACCAUGAGCCACAGUACGAGGCGAUACAGCUGUCACCGACUGCAAGGACAGAGCAGCCCAUCUAACUACUCAUUCCCGGGUGCAAUUCACAACCAGCACACUGUAACGCCAGAGCCUUCUGCAGCUGGUGAUUGGCUGCUGCGCUCGGCAUCCCCAGAAUAUAAGAACAAUCGGCUGCACCUGUAUCUCAUUUAGGGUUUCAGUAUGUAAGUGUUUGUUUGUGUAUUGUCCGGUGCAAAGUCUUGAUCUUGUUUCUAGUUCAGCCUUGUUUGAAACUGUGUACUGCUCCUGACCUUGGCUAGUUUUCAUACUCUCUGUUUUGGAUCACCUGUAUUGCCGUCUACUCGUGUAGCGAUCGUUGCCUGGCCGACCAUUCUAAUUAAAUCAGCGCUCUACACUUGGACCCAGCACUGUCUAGUAUGCAUGUUUCAUUAUAAGUGGGUGGAACAUGUCCUUUCUAAGAACAGCUUGUCCAUCCCCCUCUACACUUUUUCUUAAGAAAAUUAUAUUUAACGACUGCAUCCUCAGUUAUUUGAAGAAGAAAAAAGCAGUUCCAUCAACAUUGGAAAACAAACCUACAUGCGUGGUCCAAUGAAAUGCCAGAUUGCACUCAUACACAGGCUGCUGUUGCAUCUGUGGCUAGGACUUCUUAACCAUAUCCUGUCAUCACCAUCCACUCAACUGCCAUCUUUUAACCUUUCACGUGCCCAAAAACACAUAUUUACAAAUUAAGAAAAUAACUUUAAGACCAGCCUAUUAUAGUCCUAUCCUCUGAUUUGUUAGGAUACAAUAUCAAGAAGGGUUUGUGUUGAAAGCAUAGCACGUCAGAAUGUACAUGUACUGCAUUUUCUUACCCUCAUAACUUCAAAAGAAGUACAAUAA